GGGGCCUUAGCUCAAUUGGUAGAGCGCUUGCUUUGCAAGCAGGAGUUCGGGGGUUCGAUUCCCCCAGGCUCCACAA
rnacentral:tRNA from 1 species